CGGACUUUAUUCUAAAAAAUAAAGCUAGAAAUUAGGGUUCUUGUUAAGCUAACCUUUUUUGUCAAACUUUGUUGUUGUCUUAUUUGUUUUUGUGCUUCUAAUCACGAUGAAAUACAUCUUCACCUUUGGACUUUGUAAAGUGGAUUCAGCACUGAUAUCCCCAUAUCUGGCAUACAAGUCUUCAAAGUUUGGAGCCAAGUCCCAGCUGAUGAAAUGAUCGUUAGCUUUGAUGACCUUCUCAUAGUCUUGCCCAACUCUUACAGUUCCACCAGUUGCAAUAUCCAGCGACUUCAUCAAAGCGUUGUUUGAUUGUAUGCUUUUCCAUUUUGCAUCCCAUAUGGGACUAUAAUGCUUUUUGUUUCUAAUAAUAAUACUUGUCUUGUUGCUUAUGCACCGGCAACUCUGUUCUGAACAAUAAUGUCUCCUUAGCCUUCACUCGCUGAAUUGUCAUGAGAUAGUUUUGCUACGCC
rnacentral:lncRNA from 1 species